GACUGAUUUUAAAUUAGUAAACAGGCUCUCAGUGCUCAUGGUAGGUCUCAGAUAAGGUGCAAAAACAAUGCUAAAAUAUGCGGUGAUAAUUGAGUGUCAAUUUAAGAACAUGUUCCCUAUUGAACAGGUGCCUGUAGUUUGCUGUGAACUUGAGGUUAUUGUUAAUACACCGUUAACAGGAUCCCAGGAGUUUCCAUGCAGUUAAUUUCACACUUGGACGUUGCAAUAUUUGCAACAAUUCACAGAGUUCAGAAAUGUCCAGGAGACUUUGGCAGGGACAGCCAAGCAAAAUGCUAAUAAGGAAAACAGAAGAGAAGUCUGAGCCAGCUCUCGACUGUUGCCAGACUCCAUCAGCACUACACAAUGUUGACACGAAAAAAAGAGUUCUUUCAUCUCCUGCAGCCAUAAACCAAUGGGGAUUUUAUUUAUUUAUUAACAGAGAAAUAACAGAAUGAAACAGAAGGGAGGGCUUGAAAGGAGCCCAUUGUGUUAGGCCAGUGACAUCUCUCUAAAAUGAAUGAGGAUCCGUGAAUGAGUCUUGUUUCAUAACACAGCUAUAUAACGCAAUGAUCUGCAGUCAGAUCUGUGUGUGUCAUCCUGCAGGGUAAUUUACAGUUCUGCAGACUGGGAGGAAAAUGCAAGCAAAUUAAAACUGAUCUGAUUUAUAGUCUCACGCUUUGGUGUAAAUACAAGAGUUAUAUCAAUGAUGUAUAAAGUGUAAAGCAAUAAUCAGCCAAUCGGGCUUCCAAGAUCUUAGGUCAGUCACAUAACAAGAAAGUGUUAGACAUGUGUUUUACUUCAGCUUGGGGCAGUAAAGUUGUGUUAUGUAAUGAAUGACUGACCUCCAAAGGGCAGAAAUCAGAGUAGGCUGGCUUAUAAAGUUCCCAUCGACAGGACCCAAAUCUCUAGGCACGUGGUUCAUGGCUAACAAACAGCAUCAUCAAACCUUAUUUUGGCUUUUAGUCCAAAGAUCAUCUUCAAUUUUGGUAUGAACAACCAUUUUUAGUGCAUCUCUUGAACAGGACCCUCUGCUAAUUAAUUGUCUUUUGUGAUGCUGUUGUAUCAGAAGUAAAUGUCAAGUCUUGACUCAUGUAACUUCCUUCUUCUAAAAAGGGCAGCUUCUGAGUUAAAAAGAAGUAAAAUUUAAAAACAAAAGUAUUAUCAUGCUUCUUGAACAGUGUUUCCUUAGAGAUUUGGCAUCUUUUCAUCUCUAUUAUGAGAAAGGUAACAAGAUACAUUUCAUGAAAGUCUGGUGUAUAACUGCUAAAUGUCUCUGACUUGCAAGAAAUUGGACAGCUUGUUAGAACAGUUCUUGAAUCAACAGCCUUUGGUAAGAACCAACUAAGUGGGAUGUCCCAUAGGAAAAAAAUACUACAUGACUGGGGAGCCUGAGCAUCCUGAGAAUUCUCUAUUAUGCUUUCUGGUCUUUAGGGUGUUUCAAACUUGUUUGCUUAAAGGAAAGGUGCAGAGAGCCAAGAGUGGGGUCUCCAGAAACCAAGUGACAACUAAAUUUGUUAUGGGGAUAAAUAACGUUUAAAUGUAGUCCUGUUGCUAUUUCCUUUGAAAGAGUAUUUUUCCAGAUUUUGUGAAGACCCAUAUUAGAAAAUGUUUUUUUUUCCAGAUUUCCUUUGAAACUCCAAACAACAAAAUAGUGCCCUCAGCAAAACCUGAAGGUAGCAGAAAAUCCAUCUGUUGGGCUGAUGAAGGGCAAAGACAACGAGGAGAUGCAGCAGCAAGAGGACUGCUGCAUGAGGAAAGGCAGUGAAGGUCAUCGGGUGCUGGGAGGUGGAUGAGUGGAGUCCGGCCAGAGGCGUGGCAGCAGAGGACGAGCAUCCCAGUAGUUUUACAGCAGGAGCAGUGACCCUUGCUUUGUUUCUGCAGGAAAUGAGGAUCUUUUUUUAAGCCUGAACCCACGAUUUUAUUCAGGUAAGAAAACUCUGAUCCUAACAUGGUUCCUCAUUUGUAUAGUGCCACAGAAAGUGACACAAUUGCUUGUUAAAAAGGGUUGGUUCUCAGAUACAGGUUUCAGAUUUCUCAGGAGAAACAUUAACAUGGCAGCUUCAUCUCCUCUUUGGAUGCUUAGGUAGUCCAGUGAUUAGCUCAGUCGGAAGCCUAGAGAUGCACUGUAGAGGCUGGGAGGCUUUAGUUUGGCUGGAGAAAUAGUGGUACUGGUGAAUGAAGGCUUUGAUGCAUCUCGAUUCAGAGCUUCAGCCAUUGUACUGACUUUUCUACAUGUCAAAAGGUUGCAGUAUUAUCCGAGAAGAAAGAUCUCUUGUCCUCGGGCACAAAUUGGUAGUAAGAGUCUUCCCAUUGUUAAUGCAGUUCCAGGCAGAAGAAAUUUUUCUUUGUUCCUGGUUGUGGAUGCCCUUGGAAUGAUUCACCAAAUGCUAUGUGAACCUUGGUUUAAAUUAGAAAAGGGUAUCUUUAUCUGGUACUUGAUAGGAAUGACACUUAUGUCGAUGGGUGUCUUUCCAGAGGUGGGUUUUGCUGGAAAGGGAGAGGAAGAAAGCAAGCAGAAAAAAGAGCAUUUCCAGGGGGGAGAAUAUUACAAUUUCUUUUAUUCAAGAUAGAGGUUUUGUAGAUGAAAGCAGAGGGUGCAGUUCAUCUUUGGGUUCAUUUGGAUUCAUUCAUUAAGUACGCAUCCUGAAAAUCCAGUGGUGUUUUGCAUUUGUUGGUUUUUCCUUUUGAAAACUUUGCAUAAAGAUUUUAUUUCUAAAAAGCCGUGAUCGCUGAUGACAAAGCAGCAGCCCGUGGUUACCACGAGGUGUGGGCAACGAAAGUGAACCAGAAGCACGCCCGUGUUCCUGUUCCAGAUCAGGCACUUCUCCCUGGAAUGCCUGCGGCCGCCUGGCAGCCUGGAGCCCUUCCUCGACAGAAGCUCCCGCUCACCUUACAGCACCGCUUCGGCUGCCCUGCCAGAGAGUGGACUGCAGCACACAAGGUGCUGGGAGGAACACAGCCAAGACAGCUGGUCCACGGUAUUCCUUACCCUCUGACAUCGUGUUCCUCAGAAGGAGCCUGUCCAGAUGGGCUGUGCAGCAAGACAAACACCUGGAGAGCACACAACAACCUGCCCUUCCCCUGCAGCAGGACCUCAGUUCUCUUAAACAAGGUGAUGUUUGUCAUCAUUAAAGGGCUCUUGUUCAAGCCUGACUCAAAGGAAAUAACGCUAACUCCUGAAUCUGCAGAGCUACUCUGAAUCCCUGGAGGUCUCUCUGCUAAGGACAGGCACUUGUAUGUGAUGAACGAACGGCAGCUGUAGCUCUGAAUUUCUGUAGAGUCCAUAGGCUGAAACUUCAGAGAGAUUUGUCAGCAGAGAAUUUGUCUCUGCUCUCCCAAUUCUACACCUGAGAGAAACAUUCAGCUAUGUUCCUUUUAAGAUAACAGCCAAAUACUGAGGUAAUGGUGAAAUCUUCAGUUACGUGCUUGCUGUCUGAAUUAUUACUGUUAUGGUUAACGUGUCUCAGGUAAGAAAGCAUGGCAUAUAAAUGAAUGAAUGGUGUUUGUUGGCAUUAAUAUUUUAGCACUGGAAGAUCAUGCUUGCUUUGUUGGUCAAAAAAAAAAGCAAAACAAAAUGGACAUGCUAAUCUGGAUGGAGUAUAGCAGUGCUAUAGGAAUAUAGGUCUAAGUAUGCAGUUCAGGGUAGGGAGAUUCAUGAUGUAGAUACCUAAGAUGGAAAAAAAAAAAUACCCUUUUUACUCCUACUAAAGUCAAUUGACGUAGACUGUGUUUGAAAGGUUAAAAGAGUUGAAGUUGGUGGCAGACUUCACAGGUCUGAGAUCUGAAUCAUCUAGUCAUGGGGUUCUGGACGCUGAAUUGCUCUGAAAAUUGAAAAAGGAGGAAGUCAACUAAUACAAGUUAGUUCAAAACAAAAGAAGCGGGGAGGUGAUGACCUGCAGUCUGGAAAUACAUUUUCUGAUGCUCCAAUGUGAUGAAUUUAGCUGAACAGUUGAAAAUACGCAGCAAGUGCAAUGAGGGAGUUGGACCAGAAGGCCUUUAAGGGUCCCUUCAAACUCAAAUGAUUCUACGAGCUUCACAUUUGCCUAAAGGAGAAGAUGUUUCCUUCUACUUAAUAGAGCAAGAUAGGAGGAGAACAAAGAAUGAAAGGAGUAUUCAACAAAUUCCCAAAGUGUUUGGACAGCGCUCUGCAGCCGGGCCGUGCAGGAUGCAGUUAGGCUGUGUUACCGGCUCUCUCCUUAAGCAAUUAUACUUCAAAUAUAAGCUGUGAGAAAUAAUGCUUCAUGCUUUCCAUUGAUACUGCCAUGAAAAUCUGAAAUUUCAGAGUCUCCUCCCUCCUGUUUCUUCUCUACCUCCAUACGCUGUCCUUCUAACCAGACAGUGUGUGUGGAUGAGGUGAUUUGGCAGCAGGUACUCUCACUGCAGGCGUAAAUCCCAUCCGUAUUCCAUUAUGUUUUGUGUUCCAGCUGAACUCCAUUAACGGUUCGAGAAAAGUAAAUGGAACCAACAGAGUGGGAAAACAUCGGGAUUUGGGUGUGCUGCUCAGAGUCUGACAUAUUUGAAAUCUGGCCUUACAAAUGCUACGUACUGACAUUUUCUAUGAAAGAGGUCCCAGAUUUCCCAUGAAGUUGAAAUUCCCUGCGUUAAAAACACGCACUGGCACAUUGGUAUUUUUUUCAGGACGUAUAAAAUAGUUUCUAAAAGUUGCAGUGCUUCAUUCACUCCCUCAGAUAAUAUAUGCAGAUCCUAUUUUUGAGUAAUUACAUUUCAAAAGAGCACAGCUCUUUCAGCAUAUCAAAUUGCUACUGACAUAUGCCAUCCGUCUUAAAUACUGUUUUCAGCAUUCUAAUUUCUUUUUCUAAUCAUGAGUCCGUGAUGACAAAUUAAAACAAUAUUUUGCGUGCAAUUCAUAUUUUACUGAAAUUUAAAAUGGCAAGAAAAGGCUAAGUAUUCAGUUUAUUUUCUCUUCUCAAUUAAUACAGCAAUUAAGAUAAGGAGUAUAAAACUGGCUUAAUUGGGUUGCUAUGGCAACUAAUUGCCUGAUUUCUUCAAAAAUAGCAUGUUUUAGGUGGAAUCAAUCUGUGGUAAUUUAAUUAUGUACAUCAUGAAGCAAGAAGACAGGUUAGGUACAUGUAAGGAAAAAUCCUGUUUGCAAAUGGUGACACAUCUCUUUGUCACUCAGUUAUUUUCUAACUCUUGUCUGUUUCUGUUCAUUACACAUGGUACAGAAUGACAAUUUUUCCUGUUCAUGAUCAGGAGUAUCAAGAACAGCACAAUGGAUGCUUGAGAGUAUUUCAGCUGGUCCUUGGAAACAAGGAAAAAAGUGAAAAUUAGAUCCUGACUCUCCUCUUCCUGAUUUUCCUUUCAGUGUGCAUCAGGGAAAUUGACACAGUGCAGCUCAGCUACCUAAUUCAUACAUACACAAAUGGCCACAGCAUGAAGCAAAAUCCUGGCUCUAGCCAGUGCAACUUGGGAAUGCUGAUGUCACAAGGAGAGCAAAACACUUUUGGAAAAGAGAAAGGUGGUUUUCACUCAUGGACUAUUGCUGUAAGAAAUGGUGCUCACUGUGAUGAAAGCUGUAUCGGUUAAAACUGUGAACUUUUAACUGAAUCUCUUUAACGUAUGGAACAGGUAACACAUUUUUAGUGACAUUUACCCUCUUCUACGUUUAAUGUAGCGUAAGUACUUUUAUUCCCAAUUUUUGUCCCAGUAGAUCCCUGGUGAUGAGAGUAGCAGGGGGAGAAGCUGGCUUACUGGUGGUGCACCAGAGUCUGGGUCUCAGUGCUGCCUGGCUUUGUGCGGGCUGUGCCCUGCCAGGAUGUCAUGGGAAAACUGAAGUUGCUAUCAGUACUUAGCAGAGUCAGCAAGACUGCAAGGCUGGUUUUCUGUAUAUCAAGCAAACAAAAGUAACCAAAGUUUUUCUUCUAAAGAGCUAGAGCAAGUUAUAUAAUUGGAACGUUAACUGGGGUAUUCUGCCUCUCUGCAGUAAUAGUGUUCAUUAGCUUAAGACUAUUUGGUAUAUAUUACUAUUCCUUCCUCUUAAAGAAAAGGGAGAAACAAUUUAGCUUUUUAAAAUGUUACAUAUUUUCCAGAUAUUUUUAAAUUUUAAACAUGUUGUCCUCUUUUUUUUUUUUUUUCCUAAAUUGUGACUCAAACUCUAAGAAUAUAGGUGAAAAAGGACAAUUCCAGGAGAGUUUUUAGCAUGACAGCCUUUAUGAGAAACACAUAUGGGCAUUAUGCUUUAUGAGAGUCAUCUCUAAUGCUCCAGAAUAUAAUCGGAUUUGUACAACAUAGUUACACAGCAAAUCACCUGGAAGGUCUGAUCCAAGCAGGUAUCUCAAACUCACGUGAUUUAUUGCCUAUGUAUGUGUGGUUUAUCCAUAUACUUCUAAUAAUUGUACUUUAUGCUUAUGAAAUCACAUUGUUUUGAGUGAUCAGAAUGGUGAAUAAAGGAAAUAAAGUGGUCA